rnacentral:lncRNA from 1 species
ACAACUUCUAUUUCAGAUCAACAGAAAUUUGAUGAAGAAUUUUGUGUAAAGGGGCGGCAAAAUGGUAAUUUGAGGCACCGUAGGCGGUGGAGCAGCGGCGAUGAACGGUUUGCGUGGUCGGAAUUUACUUCCGGCAAAAAUGUUGUAAAGCUUUGGGAUAGUUUAGAUUUAGGCUUGAAUUUUGUUGCAGAUAAUGAUAAUAAUAACUCUAAAAGCGUAGUUUCUAUAUGGAAUAUUGAUAAUGAAGAGAAAAAUAAAAAUAAUUUUGG